UUCACUGUGACCCGUGCCCUGCAGGUGUACCCGUCAGCUCCGCGGCCGGAGCUCCAGCAGCCCGCGCUUUGACUCGUUCUGCAUUUUUUGCAAGAAAGCGUACUUACGACCAACCGAACUGGUUUGGAGUCGGGCUGGCUUUCACCACCAGUGCUGCCCUGUGGGCUUUUCUUUUCAAGCAGCAUAAUGAAGAUGUAAUGGAAUAUGAAAGAAGAAAACAAGAGAGGCACCAUAAGUGUACAGGUUGUUCAUAGUUGACCAAAUGUUUGAUGAGAAAUACCGUCCUGUGAAUUAAGGAGUACGGCGGACCUAUCUGAAAGUAUUUAAACCUUAUCUGUUCAUACAUUUCACAUGCAAGCCUAUGAAAUAAAGUGUGAAAGAAGCUUCUGAAGACUUCUCUUGCCGUUUGUAUUUUAUCCCACCGGCUUUCGUAAAUUGUUUUCUGAUUGCAUUUACGUAUUUCAUAGUUCUGAAAGUAAUGUUGAUAAAGUGCACGGUUUUCUGGAAUGUGUAUUACAAAGUCGAGCAUCAGUUAAGAGACAGCCCAGGAGGCAGCUGGAAAGGAGCU
rnacentral:lncRNA from 1 species